UAAAAAUUGUAGCCAAACAAACCUAAACUACCAAAAAACAAAACAAACCAUUUAAUUUAAUAGUAUGGGCGAUAGAAAUUUACUAUGAGCAAUAAAAAGAGUACCGCAAGGGAAAGAUGAAAUAAAAAUGAAAUAAAUAAUAAAAACAAAGAAAAGAAAAGACUAAACCCUGUACCUUUUGCAUAAUGGUCUAGUAAGUUCAACCUAACAAAAAGAAAUAAAGUUAGCCACCCCGAAACUAGGCGAGCUACUUAAGAGCAGCAUAAUCAGAGCUAACCCGUCUCUGUGGCAAAAGAGUGGGACGACUUUUAAGUAGAGGUGAAAAGCCUAACGAGCCUAGUGAUAGCUGGUUGCUUGAGAAAUGAAUAUUAGUUCAGCUUAAAGUAUUUUUAAUAAUUAAAAAUAAAUAUAGCACUUUAAAGUUAAUUAAUAGGGGUACAGCCCUAUUAAUAAAGGAUACAACCUACAUAAUGAAUAAAGAUUAUAUUAACAAAAGAAAUUAACCAUGUAGGCCUAAAAGCAGCCACCAUAAGAAAGCGUCAAAGCUCAACUUACAACCCUCCCCUUAUUAUACUAAUAAAAAAAAUCUAAAUUCACAAAACAUAUCAAGCCUAUCUACUAGUAGAUGAGUUUAUACUAGAAUGAGUAACAAGAACAAAUUCUCUACAUGCAAGCGUAAAUCAGAACGAAAAAAUCACUGAUAAUUAACAAUUUAAAAUACUCAUCAACGAGAAAAACACAUUAAAACAAUUGUUAACCCAACACAGGAGCAUUAAAAAAGAUUUAAAGAUUAAAAAGGAACUCGGCAAUCACAGAGCUCCGCCUGUUUACCAAAAACAUCGCCUCUUGCCCCCCUAAUAUAAGAGGUCCCGCCUGCCCAGUGAUUAAUUUUAACGGCCGCGGUAUCAUGACCGUGCAAAGGUAGCGUAAUCACUUGUCUUUUAAAUAAAGACCUGUAUGAAAGGCAAAACGAAAGCUCAACUGUCUCUUUAAUCUAAUCAGU
rnacentral:rRNA from 1 species